rnacentral:misc_RNA from 1 species
CACAAUUAAAAUAUGAAGGCCCUUCAAACCGGCUGGAUUAUUUUUAUUCACCCUUGUCUUUUGCGCACUUGUUGUUUCCUGGGCGGGUUCGCUCGCCACCAGGACCACAUUAUAAACCUUUUUUUGUUAAUGCAAUCAGCGUCAGUAUAACAAAUGUAAAUCAUUUA